AGGAGAAUGAGGCAAGCCAAGCUGUGAGGAGUCUGUGGGUCAUGGCUUUGGCAGCGUGGAACCUGGGACAUAGAGUCCCCCUUGAUACGGCUGUUCAGCAGACCAACUUUGUUGUAAAUAUUUAGAUAAAAAUGGGCUUUAGAGCAGCCACAUCUGAAGACCCACAAGGCUGAAUGUUACACAGGCAAUCAGAAUCUGAUUGAAGAUAAACUCAUCCUAUUUGGAUCAGAGCAUUAGAAGAAAGAAAGAACUGACACUUCUCAACCUUCUCUAGUUGAAGACUUCUCUUUGCUAUAACUACUUGAAGAGUUCAGCAGAAAAAUUUUACUGAAGAAUCCCUGAUCCUCCUUUAAGUAGCUGUAGAGAAUAUUCACUAAGUGUAAUGGGACACGUCUCUCUCAUGCCCACUUCUUUUCUCUUAUCCCUGCAAGAAAAUGAAGUUUUGUUGGAGUCAGAGGUUUAUUUUAGUUUAUUUUAAUCAGAAACGUGUAUGAAAUCCAAAGCACAUGAUCUUCAUUUUUAAUAACGUAAACCAUCCCCAUGUUUAUGUGCUUUCUCUGGUCCUCAACCUUUUUUUUUCUUUUUAAUUUUAAGAACAUCUGUCCCCACUGCAACUUCACUUUCAUCAGGAAAUCUAAUUACAGAGAUAGAAAAGAGUAUAGUAGGUGAAGCAAAAGACAGCAGCUCCACCUCUUAAUACUGAAUACUUAGAUGACUGCCAGAUGAAUAGCUGGAUCCUUUUGUGGCUAACUAACUCACCUGGUGUAGAGAAAGACAGUUGAUAGAUCAAAAAAGUAUACAGAUAACAGAGAGCAAGUGAUAUGGAUAUGAAAGACAUUAGGGAGCAUACAAAUGCAGUUUGGCCAGGAUUUAUUUCUAGUUAUGGACUGAUGAGGAGACAUGGGGAAAAAUUGUCAAAUUAAAAAAAAUCUUUUUGGCAAAUUUAAACUUUGCCUCUAUCCUUUUUCUCUUAAUCUGCUACCCAGAUAUGCACUUCAAAUAGGAAUGUGGGCCUACUGGGGCAUGAAAUAGUUGAGAGCUAUUCAACAAUGAGGAGAAUGAGAGAAAUCUAUUUAGAAGGACAUUUUAGAAUUUAAGCCAGUUGAACCUUAAUAGUCACAGAUAAUUUAACAUGACCCCUAAACCAUUAGGGGGGUUUUUACUACAAGGACUUGGCUCUGUAUUAACAAUGUCAUCCUUCUUAGAAAUUGAUAACUAUAGAAGUUAUCCUAUGUGGAGUAAGAUAAGAAUGACUGCUCUUCAUGUUUACAAGAGAUUAGAGUGGAUAAGAACCAGGUGAAACAGGAAUCCCAAGGGAUCUCCUUCCUUCUCAGAGUCAUAGCCAUUCCAGGGAAUCUGCACAUUUUCUGGCUUUCCCAUUUCUAUCAGAUGGUUACUUAGGAACAAAUGAAAAUCAGCAAAAGUGCCAUGAUAAUUAUCACAAAUUCGUAUGAAAUAAUGAGGCAGUUGAAUGCAUUUUUUCUGUCUUAUCUCUGUUUGUCAAUGAGCUAAACAGUGUGUUCAGGUCCCUCUGAAUACUUGGAGGAGCAAGAUUCUUUAGCCUUGUCUCACUGAUUCCCAAAGUUUAUCUAAGUCUUUCCAGAGGAGGACCUCUAUUGUCAACACUUGAUAGCCAAACCCUUCCUUUGUUUUUUUCCUUCUAUACACUACUUGUUAAUCAACUUGCACAAAACCAAUUUCUGGUUCAACUUUGUCCUGAGCUGCUAACUGGCUAUGACUUUAUUUUACAGGUGCAGUAACUUUGUUAGCUGUUAUUUUGAGGAGCUCCAGCCAUGGGCUCAUUUGAUAGAUUUAAUUGCCAACAUCUUGAACAAACCCCUUGAUUUUAAAAUUUUAAUUUAGCAUGUUUAACAUGAAAGAGGAUUGCCGAAUAAGUGUCCCAUUUGAUUUACUCUAUAAGUAAUACAGCUGUUUGUCUUUAUUUGAAAAAUAAAGGUAGACACUUAGAAAUGAAAGAUGAAAGCUUGGAAUGUGACCUGUAAGUCCAGAAAUCACAGACCAGAAAGCAAGAAAGGAACAUGAACAGCACAUGUCAAGUAUCCAGGAAUUUCUAAGUAUAAUGCAGAACUUGGGGCAUGAGAAAUAAUCUCUCUCUCUCUGUGCGUGUGUGUGUGUGUGUUUUCUUUAUCUGAGCAUGUUUUUUUAUAUACUGCCUUUUCUGGUAACUUCAUUAGGUCUGUAUAAUUAUAGUUUGCUUCAACCUUAGUCUGCAUCAGUAUUCAUUAUUAUCUAUUUGGUGCAUUGUAGCAGCAUAAAUAUAACUAAAUUACUAGGGUCAAACCAUAAUGGGAGCUGUUGUGAUGGUAAUUAGAGCAGAAAUAUAGUCCUUUUUUGGUAAAACUUGCAGAAUUGUAGCAUGAGGUGUGUUCUUAUAGGGUACAAUUAAAGCCAGGUUGUGGGUUCAAGGUGGUAAAAUGAUGGAUAAUGAAGGUACACCAUUAAUCACAGUUCCAAAAGAUGCUCUGUAUCAAUUCUUUUCUCUCUGAAAGGUAGCUCAGAGGUUGAUGCUAAGACAAAAACCAACAGAGGGCUUAGAGGUAAGAUGCCAACUUCCGUGCCUUCACUAAUUGUCACUAGAAAGCUGAAACUGUAUCGAACUCUUUAAAAGGAAAAAAAGAAACUAGUAGAAAGCAUCUCAGUGUGGUUAUUGAAAUCAUUAAAUUUGAACUUAGUGGAGCAAUGCUUUAAUUCUAUGUGUCUUUGCCAUGUUGGACUGAGUCUCUCACAUAACAUCUUUAGAAUUUAGAAUGUGCUAUAACUUGGAGCGGAAUCACCCUUAUUGUCUUUACACACAGCCCAUAAUCCUGAAAAGCAGAAACAGAAUUCCACUCUUAACCCCCUCAGUUUGCAGAAUGUCUAAGUGUAGUGACUCUAGACUCAAUGUGAGGUAUGUGGAAAUGCUUCAGAAGAGAACAAGGCCUCGGCUGGGCGCAGUGGCUCACGCCUGUAAUCCCAGCACUUUGG
rnacentral:lncRNA from 1 species